AUAGGGGAGCCGGAGGGAAACCGAGUCUUAAUUGGGCGUUAAGUUGCAGGGUAUAGACCCGAAACCCGGUGAUCUAGCCAUGGGCAGGUUGAAGGUUGGGUAACACUAACUGGAGGACCGAACCGACUAAUGUUGAAAAAUUAGCGGAUGACCUGUGGCUGGGGGUGAAAGGCCAAUCAAACCGGGAGAUAGCUGGUUCUCCCCGAAAGCUAUUUAGGUAGCGCCUCGUGAAUUCAUCUCCGGGGGUAGAGCACUGUUUCGGCUAGGGGGCCAUCCCGGCUUACCAACCCGAUGCAAACUGCGAAUACCGGAGAAUGUUAUCACGGGAGACACACGGCGGGUGCUAACGUCCGUCGUGAAGAGGGAAACAACCCAGACCGCCAGCUAAGGUCCCAAAGUCAUGGUUAAGUGGGAAACGAUGUGGGAAGGCCCAGACAGCCAGGAUGUUGGCUUAGAAGCAGCCAUCAUUUAAAGAAAGCGUAAUAGCUCACUGGUCGAGUCGGCCUGCGCGGAAGAUGUAACGGGGCUAAACCAUGCACCGAAGCUGCGGCAGCGAACGUAUCACUUAAAGCGAUUCAGCGGGUUACGAUUGACGGAGCGAAGCGACGUCAAAGCGUAUACAAAGUCGAGUCGGUUUAAGGAUACGUUCGUUGGGUAGGGGAGCGUUCUGUAAGCCUGUGAAGGUGUGUCGUGAGGC
rnacentral:rRNA from 1 species